GGGUUGUGAGGUUAAGCGACUAAGCGUACACGGUGGAUGCCCUGGCAGUCAGAGGCGAUGAAGGACGUGCUAAUCUGCGAUAAGCGUCGGUAAGGUGAUAUGAACCGUUAUAACCGGCGAUUUCCGAAUGGGGAAACCCAGUGUGUUUCGACACACUAUCAUUAACUGAAUCCAUAGGUUAAUGAGGCGAACCGGGGGAACUGAAACAUCUAAGUACCCCGAGGAAAAGAAAUCAACCGAGAUUCCCCCAGUAGCGGCGAGCGAACGGGGAGCAGCCCAGAGCCUGAAUCAGUGUGUGUGUUAGUGGAAGCGUCUGGAAAGGCGCGCGAUACAGGGUGACAGCCCCGUACACAAAAAUGCACAUGCUGUGAGCUCGAUGAGUAGGGCGGGACACGUGGUAUCCUGUCUGAAUAUGGGGGGACCAUCCUCCAAGGCUAAAUACUCCUGACUGACCGAUAGUGAACCAGUACCGUGAGGGAAAGGCGAAAAGAACCCCGGCGAGGGGAGUGAAAAAGAACCUGAAACCGUGUACGUACAAGCAGUGGGAGCACAGAGCAAUCUGUGUGACUGCGUACCUUUUGUAUAAUGGGUCAGCGACUUAUAUUCUGUAGCAAGGUUAACCGAAUAGGGGAGCCGAAGGGAAACCGAGUCUUAACUGGGCGUUAAGUUGCAGGGUAUAGACCCGAAACCCGGUGAUCUAGCCAUGGGCAGGUUGAAGGUUGGGUAACACUAACUGGAGGACCGAACCGACUAAUGUUGAAAAAUUAGCGGAUGACUUGUGGCUGGGGGUGAAAGGCCAAUCAAACCGGGAGAUAGCUGGUUCUCCCCGAAAGCUAUUUAGGUAGCGCCUCGUGAAUUCAUCUCCGGGGGUAGAGCACUGUUUCGGCAAGGGGGUCAUCCCGACUUACCAACCCGAUGCAAACUGCGAAUACCGGAGAAUGUUAUCACGGGAGACACACGGCGGGUGCUAACGUCCGUCGUGAAGAGGGAAACAACCCAGACCGCCAGCUAAGGUCCCAAAGUCAUGGUUAAGUGGGAAACGAUGUGGGAAGGCCCAGACAGCCAGGAUGUUGGCUUAGAAGCAGCCAUCAUUUAAAGAAAGCGUAAUAGCUCACUGGUCGAGUCGGCCUGCGCGGAAGAUGUAACGGGGCUAAACCAUGCACCGAAGCUGCGGCAGCGACGCUUAUGCGUUGUUGGGUAGGGGAGCGUUCUGUAAGCCUGUGAAGGUGUACUGUGAGGUAUGCUGGAGGUAUCAGAAGUGCGAAUGCUGACAUAAGUAACGAUAAAGCGGGUGAAAAGCCCGCUCGCCGGAAGACCAAGGGUUCCUGUCCAACGUUAAUCGGGGCAGGGUGAGUCGACCCCUAAGGCGAGGCCGAAAGGCGUAGUCGAUGGGAAACAGGUUAAUAUUCCUGUACUUGGUGUUACUGCGAAGGGGGGACGGAGAAGGCUAUGUUGGCCGGGCGACGGUUGUCCCGGUUUAAGCGUGUAGGCUGGUUUUCCAGGCAAAUCCGGAAAAUCAAGGCUGAGGCGUGAUGACGAGGCACUACGGUGCUGAAGCAACAAAUGCCCUGCUUCCAGGAAAAGCCUCUAAGCAUCAGGUAACAUCAAAUCGUACCCCAAACCGACACAGGUGGUCAGGUAGAGAAUACCAAGGCGCUUGAGAGAACUCGGGUGAAGGAACUAGGCAAAAUGGUGCCGUAACUUCGGGAGAAGGCACGCUGAUAUGUAGGUGAAGUCCCUCGCGGAUGGAGCUGAAAUCAGUCGAAGAUACCAGCUGGCUGCAACUGUUUAUUAAAAACACAGCACUGUGCAAACACGAAAGUGGACGUAUACGGUGUGACGCCUGCCCGGUGCCGGAAGGUUAAUUGAUGGGGUCAGCGCAAGCGAAGCUCUUGAUCGAAGCCCCGGUAAACGGCGGCCGUAACUAUAACGGUCCUAAGGUAGCGAAAUUCCUUGUCGGGUAAGUUCCGACCUGCACGAAUGGCGUAAUGAUGGCCAGGCUGUCUCCACCCGAGACUCAGUGAAAUUGAACUCGCUGUGAAGAUGCAGUGUACCCGCGGCAAGACGGAAAGACCCCGUGAACCUUUACUAUAGCUUGACACUGAACAUUGAGCCUUGAUGUGUAGGAUAGGUGGGAGGCUUUGAAGUGUGGACGCCAGUCUGCAUGGAGCCGACCUUGAAAUACCACCCUUUAAUGUUUGAUGUUCUAACGUGGACCCGUGAUCCGGGUUGCGGACAGUGUCUGGUGGGUAGUUUGACUGGGGCGGUCUCCUCCUAAAGAGUAACGGAGGAGCACGAAGGUUGGCUAAUCCUGGUCGGACAUCAGGAGGUUAGUGCAAUGGCAUAAGCCAGCUUGACUGCGAGCGUGACGGCGCGAGCAGGUGCGAAAGCAGGUCAUAGUGAUCCGGUGGUUCUGAAUGGAAGGGCCAUCGCUCAACGGAUAAAAGGUACUCCGGGGAUAACAGGCUGAUACCGCCCAAGAGUUCAUAUCGACGGCGGUGUUUGGCACCUCGAUGUCGGCUCAUCACAUCCUGGGGCUGAAGUAGGUCCCAAGGGUAUGGCUGUUCGCCAUUUAAAGUGGUACGCGAGCUGGGUUUAGAACGUCGUGAGACAGUUCGGUCCCUAUCUGCCGUGGGCGCUGGAGAACUGAGGGGGGCUGCUCCUAGUACGAGAGGACCGGAGUGGACGCAUCACUGGUGUUCGGGUUGUCAUGCCAAUGGCACUGCCCGGUAGCUAAAUGCGGAAGAGAUAAGUGCUGAAAGCAUCUAAGCACGAAACUUGCCCCGAGAUGAGUUCUCCCUGACUCCUUGAGAGUCCUGAAGGAACGUUGAAGACGACGACGUUGAUAGGCCGGGUGUGUAAGCGCAGCGAUGCGUUGAGCUAACCGGUACUAAUGAACCGUGAGGCUUAACCUUACAACGCCGAAGCUGUU
rnacentral:rRNA from 1 species